CACGUAGGGUCCGAGCGUUGUCCGGAAUUACUGGGCGUAAAGCGUGCGCAGGCGGUUGUGUAAGACAGAUGUGAAAUCCCCGGGCUCAACCUGGGAAUGGCAUUUGGGACUGCAAGGCUUGAGUGCGGCAGAGGAGACUGGAAUUCCUGGUGUAGCAGUGAAAUGCGUAGAUAUCAGGAGGAAUACCGAUGGCGAAGGCAGGUCUCUGGGCUGACACUGACGCUCAUGCACGAAAGCGUGGGGAGCAAACAGG
rnacentral:rRNA from 1 species